GCCUGGGUGGCUCAGUUGGUUAAGUAUCCGACUUCGGCUCAGGUCAUGAUCUCAGAGCUUGUGGGUUCAAGCCCUGCUUCAGGCU
rnacentral:tRNA from 1 species